AGUGAACGCUGGCGGUAGGCCUAACACAUGCAAGUCGAACGGCAGCACAGUAAGAGCUUGCUCUUACGGGUGGCGAGUGGCGGACGGGUGAGGAAUACAUCGGAAUCUACUUUUUCGUGGGGGAUAACGUAGGGAAACUUACGCUAAUACCGCAUACGACCUACGGGUGAAAGCAGGGGAUCUUCGGACCUUGCGCGAUUGAAUGAGCCGAUGUCGGAUUAGCUAGUUGGCGGGGUAAAGGCCCACCAAGGCGACGAUCCGUAGCCGGUCUGAGAGGAUGAUCAGCCACACUGGAACUGAGACACGGUCCAGACUCCUACGGGAGGCAGCAGUGGGGAAUAUUGGACAAUGGGCGCAAUCCUGAUCCAGCCAUACCGCGUGGGUGAAGAAGGCCUUCGGGUUGUAAAGCCCUUUUGUUGGGAAAGAAAAGCAGCAGGUUAAUACCCCGCUGUUCUGACGGUACCCAAAGAAUAAGCACCGGCUAACUUCGUG
rnacentral:rRNA from 1 species